rnacentral:rRNA from 1 species
GUGGGGAAUAUUGGACAAUGGGCGAAAGCCUGAUCCAGCCAUGCCGCGUGUGUGAAGAAGGUCUUCGGAUUGUAAAGCACUUUAAGUUGGGAGGAAGGGCAGUAAGUUAAUACCUUGCUGUUUUGACGUUACCGACAGAAUAAGCACCGGCUAACUUCGUGCCAGCAGCCGCGGUAAUACGAAGGGUGCAAGCGUUAAUCGGAAUUACUGGGCGUAAAUCGCGCGUAGGUGGUUUUGUAAGUUGGAGGUGAAAUCCCCGGGCUCAACCUGGGAACUGCCUCCAAAACUGCAUGACUAGAGUACGGUAGAGGGUAGUGGAAUUUCCUGUGUAGCGGUGAAAUGCGUAGAUAUAGGAAGGAACACCAGUGGCGAAGGCGACUACCUGGACUGAUACUGACACUGAGGUGCGAAAGCGUGGGGAGCAAACAGGAUUAGAAACCCCGGUAGCC